rnacentral:rRNA from 1 species
GCAGUAGCCGCGGGAAUACAGAGGGUGCGAGCGUUAAUCGGAUUUACUGGGCGUAAAGCGUGCGUAGGCGGCUUCUUAAGUCGGAUGUGAAAUCCCUGAGCUUAACUUAGGAAUUGCAUUCGAUACUGGGAAGCUAGAGUAUGGGAGAGGAUGGUAGAAUUCCAGGUGUAGCGGUGAAAUGCGUAGAGAUCUGGAGGAAUACCGAUGGCGAAGGCAGCCAUCUGGCCUAAUACUGACGCUGAGGUACGAAAGCAUGGGGAGCAAACAGGAUUAGAGACCCGUGUAGUCCCUGUCUCUUAUAC